GACAGAGGGUGCAAACGUUGUUCGGAAUUACUGGGCGUAAAGCGUGUGUAGGCGGUCUCGUAAGUCAGGUGUGAAAGCCCGGGGCUCAACCCCGGAAGUGCACUUGAUACUGCUUGACUUGAGUACUGGAGAGGUUGGUGGAAUUCUCGGUGUAGAGGUGAAAUUCGUAGAUAUCGAGAGGAACACCGGUGGCGAAGGCGGCCAACUGGACAGAUACUGACGCUGAGACACGAAAGCGUGGGGAGUAAACAGG
rnacentral:rRNA from 1 species